UGAUACAUAAAAUAUAAUUUUGAGUUUCUCCUUCUAAUAUAACUAACCGUGUAGAAAUAAUUUGACCGUGUUAAUCGACAAAAGAAAGAAAGAAAAAUUCGACAAGUACGAGAAUAUUUUAUUAACACAACUAACAGUUUUUAAACGGAUUUCAGCCAUUUCCGCCCCACGUGACGUUCUUGGCAGAUAACUUGGUGACGUCAGCUGCUGCUAAAAUUAGACGAAGUUCGCGUCGUAGACUAUUUUGACCGUUGCCAGUUGGAGUUGUUUGGACAAAAUGGGACCUAAGAAAACAGCUAAAAGCAGCAAAAAGUCGAACGCGGGUGAGAAAAAGGAGGAAAACAAAUCCGAUCAGAAAACCGAAGAGAUAGCCACUUCGGAAGUGGCAGCCGACACCCAGUCGAAUACCGCCAGCAGUAAGAAGGCUACCAAAGCUACAAAAAGGAAAAGAUCAGCAGGAAAAACUUCGUCCAAGAAGAAGAGAAAGACUUAAAAUGUGAGUUUGUUUGCUAGCAUUCUCUGACGUCAUUCUCGGUAACGUCGAUAUUUAAUCUUGCCAUUUUUAUUUUCGUAAACUUUUCCUUCUCGCCAAUCGUAUCGUUUUAUGUCGCCCGAUAUGUCGGUAAACAUCUUUUUAAUUCUCUAAUACACGUUUUCUCGAUGCCACAGCUACGCACGAAAAUGUUUUCCGGUUUCUAACUGUUGAAUACGGUAGAACUACGCGCCCAAACAACAACCGAUUCGCCAUUUUCGUUAUAGUUUGUUCGUUAUCUUUCUAACGUAGAAAGGAGGCAUUAUAAGGGGAUUUAUUUCGAAUAUUUUUCAAUCUAUAACAAUAGUAAACUGAAAUAACUCGUUUUUGUUUAACAAACCUACCAAAGAACAACAAAUUUGUAACGAAGAUUAUCGCUUGACUACAAGUUAAAUGUUGCCAACUUCAGAAGUGCAAUACGGGAAAAACUGCAUUUCGGAGAGGAACAACUGAAUUAAUCUUUUUAUAAAUGUUAAAAAGUGAUAAAAAUUUAGAUUUUAAAAUAAUAAUAAUUUAUUAGUCGUUAAUAAUUUUCGAUAAUAAGAAAUAUGAUUGAACAAAAUAUCGUAUAACUUCCACAACCAUGCUUCCGCCAUGCGGGGGGUUUCUUCCAGAUGAACUUCACGUUGGUGAUACUGUUUUUAACUUAUAGAAAAGUAGGAUUAUGUUACAAUGAAAAAUUACAUUGUAAUUGCAAAAGAUUGCAUAAAUUGACAGAAUUACAUUGCCGCUAAUGAAUUUCAACUUAAUUUCUGUUCGCUA
rnacentral:lncRNA from 1 species